AACAGAAGCUGCAAAGAAUUAAAGGAUCCAUCUGAGAAAAUCAAAGCAGAUGAGAAUUCAAAACACCAACAACUACAUUAAUGGCAUUAACGUUGCAAGAGUAAUAAAUAUAUAUAAUUUUUCUUUUAUAUAUAAAAUUUUUUAAAGAAAAAAAAAAUACAUAUAAGUAUAUUUUCUGAACCAAAGUCUCAAACCUAAACUCUCAUUUACAUCUAUAAGAUUACUUGAACCAGCACUCAAGGACCAAAAUUGCUCAUAAAAGAAGGGGGAUGAAGAAAAUCAAGAUAUUAAGCAAGAAAUGAAAAAAAAAUAAAGAAAAGGGAUCAGAAAAGAAAAGAAAAGAAAUGAAAAUUUAGUAGCUGAAACAGAAUUCAAGCUUCCUGAUUCUAGCAGUAAACUUAUCUGUUGUGUAAAGGGUUUGGUCCUGUAUAGACUUUCCUCUUCUCAGCACCAAAAAUUUCAUCAGAAUCUUUAUUUGCAUUUUUUCCUCUGAAGACACCAUUAGAGUUGGUAGGGCUGAGAUGAUGAUCAGAAGCAGACUCACUUUUGAAUCUACUGAACUUUCCAUACCCAACAGCAAAAGGAGGAGUCUCUAACUGUGACAUUAUCAGAAGAAGAAGAAGAGAUAUGCAAGCUAGCUCUCUUUUAAGACCCAUCUUGUGCUUCUUCCUUGUAACCCAAUUCAUGGCAUGGAAAACUUUUAACAAAAGUUCUCUUUUUGUCUCUCUCUCUCUCUCCUCUUUCAAGAAUCUGGAGGAAUGUGAGGUAUGAGUUUGGGGGCCUUGUUGGUUUUUAUUUUCUUGGGUUCUGAAAAUCAAGAAACUUUUUGGUUAUAUGUUUAGAAGCCUUUAGCCUGGGAAUUUGAAGAAGAGGCAAGUCAAUUUGAGAUGAGAGUCAAAAUGCAUAGGAUUUGCUGCCCUUGUUUUUAAAAUAUAUAGAUGGGUUUCAGAGAGGGUGUUAUUGUAAACUUACUUUAUUUGCUGAUUUCAAAGCCUAAUGUGAUCUGCUUGCUGAGAGAGAGGGAUAUUCAAUUCCCUGAGCUGAAAAUGAAAGCACCUUCAAGGGGGUCUAGGGCUUUAGCUUUCUUUCGGUUGUGAGCAAUUGAUUUUCUUGGAUUUUUCUUUGUUUAGCUUAUAGAGAUCUUAAUGGUAAUAACA
rnacentral:lncRNA from 1 species